UCGAGAAUAUUCGACAAUGGGCGAAAGCCUGAUCGAGCGACGCCGCGUGCAGGAUGAAGGCCCUCGGGUUGUAAACUGCGGUAGUAGGGGAGGAACGCAAGUGACUGUACCCUACGGAAAGUGGUUGGUAACUACGUGCCAGCACCAGCGGUAAUACGUAGACCACAAGCGUUAUCCGGAUUUAUUGGGCGUAAAGAGCAUGUAGGAGGUCCGGUGCGUCUCUGGUUAAAGCCCACCGCCUAACGGUGGAAGUGCCAGAGAUACGAUCGGACUGGAGGAUGUGAGAGGUGCAUGGAACUCACGGUGUAGGGGUGAAAUCCGUUGAUAUCGUGGGGAACACCAAAGGCGAAGGCAGCGCACUGGCCAAAAUCUGACGCUCACACACGAAAGCUAGGGUAGCGAAGAGGAUUAGAUACCCAAGUAGUCCCUGAGCGGGCUGGCAAGGCGCAU
rnacentral:rRNA from 1 species